CACACCUCAAGCACCGCUUGGUAUUGGGCGCCGUCCUCUGCGGACGCGCCUCAAAGCCCUCGGCGGUGGCGUCCUGCCUCAAGCGUAGUAGAAUACACGUCGCUUUGGAGGCCGGGGCGUCGCCCGCCGGACGAAACCUUUGAACUUCUUCCAA
rnacentral:misc_RNA from 1 species